UGCAGAGGCCCACAUUGGACCUGGAUGAGAACCAUGGACUUGUCAACAGAGAGCUCUGGACAGAGUGGGAGGAGGGGCUAAGCUCCACAGCCACGGCUCUGAGGUGGCAGCCACAGCCUCGCCACGCUGUGCCCUUUCUGCUCCUCCCCUGCUGACCCGAAGAGCCUUAUGCAGUUGUGGGGGAUGGUGGUGCAGGGGCAGAAGUGGUGCACAAUGGCCCCCAUUCCAUGUGCAGGUUCAGUGCUCGGAGAGCUGGAGCAGGCAGGCUGAGGGGGUGUCAAAAGCCCCGGAAUUGCUUGUGGCCGGGGUUAGGGGAGUGGACUGAUUCAGGUGGGAGCCGGGUGCAGCCCGUUGCAUAAACGAUCAGUGUUCGGUUUGCUUCUCUCAGGCUGAGGCCAGAAAAGCCCUGGGCAGGGCUGGGGGCAGCCCAGAGGGACUCCUAUGAAUGACCAGGCAGAGGGUCCUGAUCCCAGGGAGGGAGACUGUAGGGGGCUGGGGAGCAGCACCUGCCUGCCUUUUCUGGAAAGUAGAGAGAGGCGGAGUGGGGGGGCAAAUGGGAAGCAGGGCAAAGUUCAGGGAAUGUGUGAGGCUUGGGCUUCCCGGAUACUCUAGAACUUAGCCCACAGCCUGGCCUGUGACUUGAGGUCCCCUGUGCCCGACUCCAAGGGCACAGGCCAAUGGUUGGGGGACUCACUGGGAUCAAUGGAGUCGGAGGAUCAGGAGGACACUGGGAACCAGUGGGGCUGGUGACCGAGAGAG
rnacentral:lncRNA from 1 species